rnacentral:rRNA from 1 species
CGCUAGCUACAGGCUUAACACAUGCAAGUCGAGGGGCAGCACAAGGCAGCAAUGCUGAGGUGGCGACCGGCGCACGGGUGCGUAACGCGUAUCCAACCUUCCCGAUACUCUUGGAUAGCCUUCCGAAAGGGAGAUUAAUACAAGAUGGUGUUUCAAUUCCGCAUGUUAUUGAAACUAAAGAUUUAUCGGUAUCGGAUGGGGAUGCGUGACAUUAGAUAGUAGGCGGGGUAACGGCCCACCUAGUCUACGAUGUCUAGGGGUUCUGAGAGGAAGGUCCCCCACACUGGAACUGAGACACGGUCCAGACUCCUACGGGAGGCAGCAGUGAGGAAUAUUGGUCAAUGGUCGGAAGGCUGAACCAGCCAAGUAGCGUGAAGGAUGAAGGUUCUAUGGAUUGUAAACUUCUUUUAUACGGGAAUAAAACCUCCCACGUGUGGGAGCUUGUAUGUACCGUAUGAAUAAGCAUCGGCUAACUCCGUGCCAGCAGCCGCGGUAAUACGGAGGAUGCGAGCGUUAUCCGGAUUUAUUGGGUUUAAAGGGAGCGUAGACGGGAUGUUAAGUCAGUUGUGAAAGGCUGCGGCUCAACCGCAGCACUGCAGUUGAUACUGGCGUCCUUGAGUGCGGUUGAGGUAUGAGGAAUUCGUGGUGUAGCGGUGAAAUGCUUAGAUAUCACGAAGAACUCCGAUUG